rnacentral:rRNA from 1 species
UACAGAGGUCCCGAGCGUUGUUCGGAUUCACUGGGCGUAAAGGGUGCGCAGGUGGGUUGGCAAGUUUGAUGUGAAAGCCCCGGGCUUAACCCGGGAAAGGCAUUGAAUACUGCUGAUCUGGAGGAUCGGAGGGGGGACUGGAAUUCUUGGUGUAGCAGUGAAAUGCGUAGAUAUCAAGAGGAACACCAGUGGCGAAGGCGAGUCCCUGGACGAUACCUGACACUGAGGCACGAAAGCCAAGGGAGCAAACGGG